UACAGAGGUCUCAAGCGUUGUUCGGAUUCAUUGGGCGUAAAGGGUGCGUAGGCGGCGCGGUAAGUCGGGUGUGAAAUCUCGGAGCUUAACUCCGAAACUGCAUUCGAUACUGCCGUGCUUGAGGACUGGAGAGGAGACUGGAAUUUACGGUGUAGCGGUGUAAUGCGUAGAUAUCGUAAGGAAGACCAGUGGCGAAGGCGGGUCUCUGGACAGUUCCUGACGCUGAGACGCGAAAGCGUGGGGAGCGAACAGG
rnacentral:rRNA from 1 species